rnacentral:rRNA from 1 species
AACAAACGCUGGCGGCGUGCCUAAUACAUGCAAGUCGAACGAGGAAAGCUUUCGGGUGAGUACUAGUGGCGCACGGGUGAGGAAUAUAUGGGUAAUCUGCCCUCGAGUUGGGGAUAACCAGUCGAAAGACUGGCUAAUACCGAAUAAGACCACAGGAUUUGCGGAUUUAGGGGUGAAAGGUUUUUCGCUUGAGGAUGAGCCCAUACGGGAUUAGCUAGUUGGCGAGGUAAUGGCUCACCAAUGCUACGAUCACUAACUGGUCUUAGAGGAUGUUCAGUCACACUGGAACUGAUACACGGUCCAGACUCCUACGGGAGGUAGCAGUAGGGAAUAUUGCACAAUGGGGGAAACCCUGAUGCAGCGACGCCGCGUGAGUGAUGAAGGCCUUCGGGUCGUAAAGCUCUGUCGUAUGGGACUAACACAAUGAAGGUACCAUGCAAGAAAGGAUCGGCUAACUUCGUGCCAGCCGCCGCCGUAA